UGCGUGGCUGUUGGAAAGUGGCUAAACCGAAGGCAUGCUCUCCAACUGAGGGCACAACAGGGGAUUCCGGUCUCUGAAUACGGGGUUUUGGUUGACAUGAUUUGUGUGCCUGACUGGGCUUUCGAAGCGGUCGGCUUGGAACUGAGAGGAAUGGGCCAAGACACUGCAUACCAUCCUAGCCUUU